CAGAACGAGAAAGAUGGCGUUAACUUCACCAAACAAACGGAUGCAUUUUAAAUAGGAAGAUCCGAGAAAUAUUAGAUGUUCUUUCUAUUAUCCAUGCAUUUUCAAUAAACUUUCCUUGUAACAAAAGUUUUUGGUUCAUAUACGACCACGGACGCCUACUUAUCAAAUAAUAUAUUUUGAUAUGGUGUCUCUCUGAGGGAGUAAAUUUCGUCAAGAAACCGAAAUGAGUAAAAGUUGUACUCGAGCUACUACGAGUGUAAUAUCACUCGUUACUUGGUUGUUAGGUGGCACAUCAGUCGGAUACAUGAUGUGGGUUUUGAGCACAUCUCCAGAGCCUCAUAAUUUCCUAACCGGAAAAUUAUUGUUUACAUAUACAGUUCUCAGCUUUGGAUCUUUCAUGGCAGUCACUGG